rnacentral:rRNA from 1 species
GACGAACGCUGGCGGCGUGCUUAACACAUGCAAGUCGAACGGAAAGGCCCUGCUUUUGUGGGGUGCUCGAGUGGCGAACGGGUGAGUAACACGUGAGUAACCUGCCCUUGACUUUGGGAUAACUUCAGGAAACUGGGGCUAAUACCGGAUAGGAGCUCCUGCUGCAUGGUGGGGGUUGGAAAGGUUCGGCGGUUGGGGAUGGACUCGCGGCUUAUGAGCUUGUUGGUGGGGUAGUGGCUUACCAAGGCUUUGACGGGUAGCCGGCCUGGGAGGGUAACCGGCCACAUUGGGACUGCGAUACGGCCCAGACUCGAACGGGAGGCAGCAGUGGAGAAUAUUGCACAAUGGGCGGAAGCCAGAUGCAACAACGCCGCGUGCGGGAUGACGGCCUUCGGGUUGUGAACCGAUUUCGCCUGUGACGAAGCGUGAGUGACGGUAAUGGGUAAAGAAGCACCGGCUAACUACGUG